rnacentral:misc_RNA from 1 species
GAUGAAGAACGUAGCGAAAUGCGAUACUUGGUGUGAAUUGCAGAAUCCCGUGAACCAUCGAGUCUUUGAACGCGAGUUGCGCCUCAAGCCAUUAGGUUGAGGGCACGUCUGCCUGGGCGUCACAUAUCGUUGCCUGAUGCCAGUUUCCUCGUGAUGGGUGACUGUGCAGGGCGAAUGAUGGCUUCCCGUGAGCAUUGUUGCCUCAUGGUUGGUUGAAAAUUGAGUCCUUGGUAGGGAGCGCCGUGAUAGAUGGUGGUUGAGUGACGAACGAGACCCAAUCAUGUGAGACCCCUACCGAAUUUGGCCUUCAUGACCCACAUGCGUCUUUGGAACGCUCAUGACGAGACCUCAGGUCAGGCGGGGCUACCCGCUGAGUUUAAGCAUAUCAAUAAGCGGAGGA